GACUCUCAACAAUAGAUAUCUCAGCUCUUGCAUCGAUGAAGAACAUAGCAAAAUGCGAUACUUGGUGUGAAUUGCAGAAUCCCAUAAACCAUCAAGUCUUUAAACGCAAGUUACGCCCUAGGCAAUUGAGCUGAGGGCACGCCUACCUGGGCAUGA